rnacentral:sRNA from 1 species
GCCGGGCGCAGUGGCGCAUGCCUGUAAUCCCAGUGACUGAGGAGGCUGAGGCAGGAGGAUCGAGAGUUCAAAGCCAGCCUCAGCAACAGUGAGGCACUAAGCAACUCAGUGAGACCCUGUCUCUA